rnacentral:rRNA from 2 species
CACGUAGGGACCAAGCGUUGUCCGGAUUCAUUGGGCGUAAAGAGCUCGUAGGCGGCUCAGUAAGUCGGGUGUGAAACCUCCAGGCUCAACCUGGAGACGCCACCCGAUACUGCUGUGGCUAGAGUCCAGUAGGGGAGCGUGGAAUUCCUGGUGUAGCGGUGAAAUGCGCAGAUAUCAGGAGGAACACCAGCGGCGAAGGCGGCGCUCUGGGCUGGCACUGACGCUGAGGAGCGAAAGCGUGGGGAGCGAACAGG